GUUCGUAGGUACACCUGCUACCUGUCAACAACAUACCAUGUAAUUACUGAACUAUUGUGGUAACUAAGAAGCGAUGUGCGAGAAACUCAAAAAGGUUUCUCAAGAAAUUCACAAUGGAACCAUAAGGCCUUGAAGAUUUAUAGUUAUGCUGAGGUAUAAUUAAAAUUGCAGAGAGCUCCAAAAUACAGGUUCUCAGGGAAUCUACCUGAAAGUUAGACAAGCAAU